rnacentral:rRNA from 1 species
GAUAAACGCUGGCGGCGCACAUAAGACAUGCAAGUUGAACGGACUUAAUCGAAAUAUUUAUAUUUUGAAGCGGUUAGUGGCGGACUGGUGAGUAACGCGUAAGGAACCUGCCUAUUAGAGGGGAAUAACAGUGAGAAAUCAUUGCUAAUACCGCAUAUGCCAUAGAUAUCACAUGAUAACAGUGGGAAAGGAGCAAUCCGCUAAUAGAUGGCCUUGCGUCUGAUUAGAUAGUUGGUGGGGUAACGGCCUACCAAGUCGACGAUCAGUAGCCGGACUGAGAGGUUGAACGGCCACAUUGGGACGGAGAUACGGCCCAGACUCCUACGGGAGGCAGCAGUCGGGAAUAUUGCGCAAUGGAGGAAACUCUGACGCAGUGACGCCGCGUAUAGGAAGAAGGUUUUCGGAUUGGAAACUAUUGUCGUUAGGGAAGAGAAAGGACAGUACCUAAGGAGGAAGCUCCGGCUAACUACGUG